CCUACGGGUGGCAGCAGUGAGGAAUAUUGGUCAAUGGGCGCGAGCCUGAACCAGCCAAGUAGCGUGAAGGAUGACUGCCCUACGGGUUGUAAACUUCUUUUAUAAAGGAAGAAAGUGAGGCACGUGGGCCUUUUUGUAUGUACUUUAUGAAUAAGGAGCGGCUAACUCCGUGCCAGCAGCCGCGGUAAUACGGAGGAUCCGAGCGUUAUCCGGAGGUAGUGGGUUUAAAGGGAGCGUAGAUGGGUUGUUAAGUCAGUUGUGAAAGUUUUCGGCUCAACCGUAAAAUUGCAAUUGAUACUGGCAGUCUUUAGUACAGUUGAGGUCGGCGGACUUCGUGGUGUAGCGGU
rnacentral:rRNA from 1 species